rnacentral:rRNA from 2 species
AAAUUGAAGAGUUUGAUCAUGGCUCAGAUUGAACGCUGGCGGCAGGCCUAACACAUGCAAGUCGAACGGUAACAGGAAGCAGCUUGCUGUUUCGCUGACGAGUGGCGGACGGGUGAGUAAUGUCUGGGAAACUGCCUGAUGGAGGGGGAUAACUACUGGAAACGGUGGCUAAUACCGCAUAACGUCGCAA